rnacentral:rRNA from 1 species
CCUACGGGGGGCAGCAGUGGGGAAUAUUGCACAAUGGGGGGAACCCUGAUGCAGCGACGCCGCGUGAAGGAUGAAGUAUUUCGGUACGUAAACUUCUAUCAGCAGGGAAGAAAAUGACGGUACCUGACUAAGAAGCCCCGGCUAACUACGUGCCAGCAGCCGCGGUAAUACGUAGGGGGCAAGCGUUAUCCGGAUUUACUGGGUGUAAAGGGAGCGUAGACGGGCCAGCAAGUCUGAUGUGAAAACCCGGGGCCCAACCCCGGGAGUGCAUUGGAAACUGCGGGCCUGGAGUGCCGGAGAGGUAA